rnacentral:rRNA from 1 species
UCCUACGGGAGGCAGCAGUGGGGAAUUUUGGACAAUGGGCGCAAGCCUGAUCCAGCAAUGCCGCGUGAGUGAAGAAGGCCUUCGGGUUGUAAAGCUCUUUUGUCAGGGAAGAAACGGUGAGGGCUAAUAUCCCUUGCUAAUGACGGUACCUGAAGAAUAAGCACCGGCUAACUACGUGCCAGCACCCGCGGUAAUA